AGACGGGUGAGUAACGCGUGGGAAUCUACCUUUUGCUACGGAAUAACGCAGGGAAACUUGUGCUAAUACCGUAUGUGUCCUUCGGGAGAAAGAUUUAUCGGCAAGAGAUGAGCCCGCGUUGGAUUAGCUAGUUGGUGGGGUAAAGGCCUACCAAGGCGACGAUCCAUAGCUGGUCUGAGAGGAUGAUCAGCCACAUUGGGACUGAGACACGGCCCAAACUCCUACGGGAGGCAGCAGUGGGGAAUAUUGGACAAUGGGCGCAAGCUUGAUCCAGCCAUGCCGCGUGAGUGAUGAAGGCCCUAGGGUUGUAAAGCUCUUUCACCGGAGAAGAUAAUGACGGUAUCCGGAGAAGAAGCCCCGGCUAACUUCGUGCCAGCAGCCGCGGUAAUACGAAGGGGGCUAGCGUUGUUCGGAAUUACUGGGCGUAAAGCGCACGUAGGCGGAUCGAUCAGUCAGGGGUGAAAUCCCAGGGCUCAACCCUGGAACUGCCUUUGAUACUGUCGAUCUGGAGUAUGGAAGAGGUGAGUGGAAUUCCGAGUGUAGAGGUGAAAUUCGUAGAUAUUCGGAGGAACACCAGUGGCGAA
rnacentral:rRNA from 1 species